UACGUAGGGGCCGAGCGUUGUCCGGAUUCAUUGGGCGUAAAGAGCGUGUAGGCGGCCGCUUAAGUCCUGCGUGAAAUCUCGGAGCUCAACUCCGAGCGGUCGUGGGAAACUGGGCGGCUAGAGUGCGGGAGAGGAGAGUGGAAUUCCUGGUGUAGCGGUGGAAUGCGCAGUAUAUCAGGAGGAACACCGGGUGGCGAAGGCGGGUCUCUGG
rnacentral:rRNA from 1 species